UUGUUCUUUGUAACAGUGCCGCAGCCGUGACGUGGUUACUAAAAUGAGGGAGCAGCUGCCGGAGAUGAAGACAUCCGGGAAAUCAAAAAAUAACCCCAGGGCAGCCAAUACAGAGCCAGGAAAGUGAAAUAAAGGGGGGAGGAAACUUCCCAAGGUUGCCUUCGGGCACGCACUCGCAAAGAGGAACCAGAAGGGACAACACUCCUAGACAAAGUUGGGAGUUUUGAGGGGAAAUGAGACGUCCUUCCCCAGAUCGCAUCCUACCUGGAGAAGACAGCCUCGGCGAUACAAACCUUGCUCUUGCAGGAGUUAAAUCCAGCCAGAAUUGGAGUUGGAGUCAUGGAGCUGCUGCUGUUUUUUUAUUUGAGAACAAGAAGUCUUUUCACUGCUGCCUCCAGCCUGCGCUGUGUGGGGGGCUCUGUUGCCCCUGUUUCCUGUAGAGAAUAUUUGCACUCUAUGGAGGGAGAGUUCCAAGCACAAGCAACAGCUGAAGCUGAUCACGUGGCUCCUAAUGAAAUCCAGACCCUGGUGGAGUGAUGACAUAUAGUGCUGUGAUUUGUGCUUCCAUACAGACUAAAGAAGCAGAGGAAGGUAUAAUAUGUUGUGCUGCCGCCAAGCAACACAGACUCCAAUAUAAAUCAGGCAGUGUGAACAGAGAGGCUUAUUUUCAACAUCUGCUUGUUUCUUGUUCUAAUUGCUCUUUCUUACAUUGCGAUAUAAGAAGCAAAUGGAGAUCAGGUAAAAACAGACAAAAUAGUUUUUCUAUUAUAUUUAAAAGUGCUGCAAAUAAAAUAUCCAAAGAAUA